UCAAACUUAGAAUCCUCCUACCUCAGCUUUCCAAGUCACUUGGAUUCCAGGUAUGCACCACUGCCCCCACUGUCUUUGUAUAUUUAAAUUUAAAGUAAAACAGAAGGUAGUAGCCAUAGUUUUGUUUUAAAAAUUGUGGAUUGUAUGACAGUCAGCCUCAUCUUAGCUGAACUUAUUGAAAUUAAAAGAUAAGGAAAUACAUUUUUAGAAAUCAGAUGGUGUUGGGGGAGGAGGAGAUUGAGUCAACAUCAAGGAGGAAAUGGUUGGCCAAUUUCAAUGUCUCCAGAUCAAAUUUAAUGCCAGAAGACAAUCCAAAACUUGUGCCAAAGAAAGUGUGACCCCCAAAUAUAUAAUACUCAUCCAAAGUGUCAAUCAAGGAUAAAAGCAUCCAACAGAUUUUACAUAUUCACAAACUCAGGGAAUACAGCUGCUCUUUAAGUUACAGUUGGCCAGUAAAAUCCAGGGAAUGAAGACAUGAAUCAAGUUAAAAAGAACAAAUAAUAGAGAGGAUCUUAAAUGGAUAGUAACUGCUGAACCCAUUGAAAUGAAAACUAUUUGAAAACUAUCAACACAGAAGAGGAACUUUGUACCAUAACAAUAUAAAAACAAUAACAUAUUAACAAAUAUGUUAUAUAUAUGGAGAGAGGAGGGGAAGAAAAAAGAAAGGAUAAUAGGUGUAAGAGACUACUGUCUUUAUUUUCUUUACAAGUGAACUGAUACUGUUCAAAAUUGAAACGUGUAUAAAUCAAAAAUGACUCCAACCACUUAACUUUCUAUAAGUUUUAAAAUACAUUGAACAAGGUCUUUUAAAUUACAAUCUUUUCAUAAAAGAAGCCCAUUCCUUAAUUUUAGGAAACUUUUCAAUUUCACCUUCUAUCCUACUAAAUUCAAUUAAAAAUAAAUUGAAUGUUUUACUUAAAUGUAACACUUUUUUAACAAAGUCAUGUCUGCCCAUCUAGUUGUUAUUUACUAAACAUACACAGCAAUCUCCAAACUGACAUAAGUGCUCUCUGUGUGAUAAAAUCUGAAGAUUUUUAUUUUCACUCUGAUUAAUUUCUUGAAAUUUUUAACCCUUUUUACAAAACAGUUAUUUUGUUCUUAAUAAAUACUAUAAAAUAAAAUGCAUAUUGUAACUUAUACUAUCUCGUUGAUAAUAAACACCUAUUUUUUCCUACUAUUUUCAUGUUGAACCAAUGAAGUAAGUGGAUACUACUGUCCUCAUCUCAAGCUGAGAUCUGAAGGCCCUACGGUGGCCCACAGGGCUAGUCUCUUGGGCCGUUGGGAUGCUAAUUCAGUGCUUUCAGGCAUGUUAGCCUUAGACAUUUGUUCAGUGAGGGUAAUAAAGAAGUUUUAAACAAACUCAAGGGUUGACUAUAAUGGGGAACCAGAUAACUUUUUUGAUUUAGAAUUUUUUUAUUUGUUCUUUUUAGUUACACAUGACAGUAGAAUGCAUUUUGACAUAUCAUAUAUACAGGGUGUGUAACUUCUCAUUAUUGUAUGUGAUGUGGAGUUGCAUAGGUUGUGUAUUCAUAAAUACACAUAGGAAAGUUAUGUUUGAU
rnacentral:lncRNA from 1 species